AGGUGUGAGGGCGAUCUGCCCGGGACAUCUGCCAUCCAUUGAUCGCCAAGGUUGAUUCAGCUCACCUGGCUGGCUAGGCAGGCAUCCCCUCCCUCCCUACUCCAUGUGUGGCCCUCUUAAGCUGUGCUGUCAGUGAAGCAGGCCACCUUCCCCGUACAGUGGGACUGCUCUUCGGUCAAGGGUAUACAAGUAGCUGUGUUCCCCUGCUAGAACCUCCAAACAUGCUCUCAGGGUAUGGUUGAGAACAACUAGGUACUUUGGGGACACAAAGUUGUCACCAUGUGCCCCUU
rnacentral:snRNA from 1 species